UAAGAAGGAACUGGCCCUCGAA
rnacentral:misc_RNA from 1 species